UACAGAGGGUGCGAGCGUUGUUCGGAAUUACUGGGCGUAAAGCGCGCGCAGGCGGCCUUUUAAGUCUCGUGGUGAAAUGCCGGGGCUCAACCCCGUGCCCGCCGGAGAUACUGGGAGGCUGGAGACGAGUAGAGGCAAGCGGAAUUCCGGGUGUAGCGGUGGAAUGCGUAGAGAUCCGGAAGAACACCGGAGGCGAAGGCGGCUUGCUGGGCUCAUGUCUGACGCUGAGGCGCGAAAGCGUGGGGAGCGA
rnacentral:rRNA from 1 species